ACGCUGUAACUAGUGCAAUCAGCUUUUCACUUUCGUAGUUCUGAAUCCACCUACAACAUUAAAUUCAAUUAGGAGAGUGGAUUGCCAAGACUGAUGCAAUAGAGGAGGAUCUGUAUUCUGCAAUAUUGAGAGUAAAGUGACUCACAGCAGCGAGCUAGCCAGCUAAGGUAAACAAAAUCAUUCUUUAUCUUCUCACUCUGGAUCAAAAGGAACGCCUGCAGGAAGAAGGAAAAUAAAAGAUUAUAUUUGCAUGUACUUUUAAACAAACAGAAGGCAGACCUGCCUCGUUUCAACGUGCAGCCAGCAGAGACUGCUCAGAGAUGGAUGAACCCAAGUAGCAGCUGAGAAGAUAUAAGCACAAGUAGGGUACUACAUCAAAUGACGACAUCAAACGAUCAUUAGAGAACAUGCUGCUCUGUGCUGUUUGGGGAGGUGACAGGAGCUAAGAUCCUAAGGCUACCAACAGCCCUGAAGUAAUCUGCUCUUUCAAGAUAGUUAUCAUCAAUCCAUCCUCACCAGAAAAUUAAAAUAUAUUUUCUGUAUACAGAAAUAUAUGUCUGAAGACCAUUAUUUUGACUCUGCACCACAGCACAAAGCAUAGCUAUCCACUGGAAAGCUGCAAAUUCUACCUUUCAAGGAAGAGGAAAAAGUUCUCACUCUGAAAAAUUACUUAGAGUGACCCAAGAAUACCUCAAAGAAAAGACUGCACCAAGUCCAGAAGAAAUGUCUCGUUCCUCCCAUGCAACACCAGAGGUGCCUGACUUGGUCCUAAGAAGACCACAGAAAAUGGAAAGGAGUGCCAUUCUCCACUAUGUUGGCAGUGUAAAUAGGGUAGUUUGUAAGACUUAUGUUCAGCACCAGAAACACUGUAUUUAAUGGAAAUGUUGUUGUCCGUUUACUUUCAUUAACAUUCCUCUUGCCCCACUUCCUCCUUAACUUAUCUCAGAAAUCUGAUCUCCGUUUCAUUUUCUACCAAGCUGAGACACUUAAGAGAAGAUUACUUACAGCAUGUGAAUUACCUGCAAAAAUCUAGUUAUAUCCUCCUUUGUAAUACCAAUUCUAUUUCAUGAGCCAUUUGGGAUUAUGAAUUUUUAUUAAAUAGUAAAACACAGCUGCUGUUCUGUGUGCUAUUUAUUGCAGUUAACAGGUGAGUAUUGACUGCUAUGCUGUGCUUCCUGCUUUUGUUUUGUUUUGGUUUUGCUUCUGGAUGUCUCCUCUCCUCUUAAAUUACGUAACUUACAAUACAUCUAAGCAUUUCAUCUCAUGUUGGAAAGGACUUUCAGAAUGAAUCUGUUUGCUUUAUGUUCCUCGAACCUCUGUGUCACAGAAGUAAUUAACAGCAAAGAUUUGAUUGAUCAGUUUAAGUGACAUUGCAAAUACAUGACACAGUAUUCUUCAUAAACUGUGAAGAAUAUUUGCAAAACAAUGCAAGAAUAAAAAUUCUUGCAGCUUUUCAUCUAGUCAUAAGAUUUGUACAGUUAGCAAGAGCAAGUCAGAAAGAUGGAAACUUGUUUUGAGAAAAUAUUCCACAUUUUCAUUUCAAUCAUUUUUUGAUAAUCCAUAUUGAAGUCAGGAGCCUUGUAGGCCCAGUUCCAAGAAAAGAAAGAGCAUAGGAUUUUCCUCACUGUAGUGAGCACAACCUACUUUUCCACUCUAAGGCUGAAAAGCAGCUAAGUAAUUUGAUAAAGAUCUCAAACAGACAAUGCAACUGCUUGCUAGGAUUGGCACAGUGGGAAGUGCUGAAGUAUGAGGUACAUGCUUGAAUAACAUGGCUAGCAACUUAGUGAAAGCCCAAGUGUACAAACAGUGAGAAGUCUGUUCUCCAUUCUAAAUGCAGCAAAACAAAGGCAGCAUAUUAGAAAUGACCACAAAUACACAACAUAAUGGUUAAUAAGCUAAGUAACUUAAAAAAACAUUAAAAUGAUCGUAUUGAGUGUAUUUCAAAGUCUAUCCGGCUUAUAAGCUUGCUUAGUAAGAAUAUAUGGCUAUGGAAAGAAUAUAUUCUAAUUUCACAUAUAAUACACGCUAUGGUAAAUAAUGCCACUUCCUUUGAAGCUUCUCCCAGCAUCCAACAAUCUGCUCUGACAGAUUUGUGGUUCCUAACCACAACUGAAAACUUUGAGUUUAACAGCUAAUGUACUUUUCUUCUUUAAUUUUCUUUAUAUCUUUUAGUUCUUGCAAGAUUCUAUAUCCAAGAAGUUGUAU